rnacentral:lncRNA from 1 species
ACUGUUUCCAUCCGUCAAGUAAUUCUAUACUUAGAACAUGUGUUCUGCAUAGCGAGUUGGUUUAUAAACCCUCGUCAAAGGAGCUAAAGUAAAGGUUUCAGGCACAGCCCAUUCUUCAGAAGUGUUUGCGCCAACCAAAGGCAGACAAAGCGAAAUCCGAGCUGUAAGUUGUCCACGUGGAGCUUCCUGCUUGCCUGGGUGCUGAGUGCCUUAAGGGUGAACCUGUACUGGCAGGAUCUCCGAGGCUCCCAGGACCCUUUCCACCGACCAGCUAGGAGCUGUCAGAAAAGGGAGGAACGGUGUUCUGCAAGCAUCUCCAGGAGGGGUUAUCAGCAUCACCACCAUUACCGCCGUCUUACAGGUAACUCCACAAGCUUGCUGAACGUCAGACACACCGCUUGAAUCAGGACGGCUGUUUCCAAAUCGUGGCUGUUGAACUGUGCAGCUUAACCCAGACUUGCAUCUUUGGACCCCGGGUCUGGGACUCCUCUGAUGCCUGAGGACUGCCCCAUCUCUCCUUCUUCCUUUUGCCCUUGUCUCUGAUGGAGGACACUUUAUUGCCUCUCUACUGUCCCCUCCCCUGGUCUCCCACUGCUGCUGUGGAGGGCCCCAGGGCCUGCCCUCCAGCUGAAGGCUGUUGCUGCCUAGGCUGAGUCAGAAUAGCCC